rnacentral:sRNA from 3 species
AUAUCUCUCUGUACGGGAAGGAUGAGAAGCUUCGACUAAGGUUCGAUUCGAGCGUCAGCGAGAAAGCGUUGCCGCAGGCAACGACCCGAAGGGCGAAGCGCGCAGCGCUGAGUCAU